AUUGAACGCUGGCGGCAGGCCUAACACAUGCAAGUCGAGCGGUAGAGAGAAGCUUGCUUCUCUUGAGAGCGGCGGACGGGUGAGUAAUGCCUAGGAAUCUGCCUGAUAGUGGGGGAUAACGUCCGGAAACGGACGCUAAUACCGCAUACGUCCUACGGGAGAAAGUGGGGGCUCUUCGGACCUCACGCUAUCAGAUGAGCCUAGGUCGGAUUAGCUAGUUGGUGAGGUAAUGGCUCACCAAGGCGACGAUCCGUAACUGGUCUGAGAGGAUGAUCAGUCACACUGGAACUGAGACACGGUCCAGACUCCUACGGGAGGCAGCAGUGGGGAAUAUUGGACAAUGGGCGAAAGCCUGAUCCAGCCAUGCCGCGUGUGUGAAGAAGGUCUUCGGAUUGUAAAGCACUUUAAGUUGGGAGGAAGGGUCGUUACCUAAUACGUGGCGAUUUUGACGUUACCGACAGAAUAAGCACCGGCUAACUCUGUGCCAGCAGCCGCAGUAACAC
rnacentral:rRNA from 1 species